GUGGGGAAUUUUGGACAAUGGGCGAAAGCCUGAUCCAGCAAUGCCGCGUGCAGGAUGAAGGCCUUCGGGUUGUAAACUGCUUUUGUACGGAACGAAACGGUUCUUUCUAAUAAAGAGAGCUAAUGACGGUACCGUAAGAAUAAGCACCGGCUAACUACGUGCCAGCAGCCGCGGUAAUACGUAGGGUGCAAGCGUUAAUCGGAAUUACUGGGCGUAAAGCGUGCGCAGGCGGUUAUGUAAGACAGUUGUGAAAUCCCCGGGCUCAACCUGGGAAUUGCAUCUGUGACUGCAUAGCUAGAGUACGGUAGAGGGGGAUGGAAUUCCGCGUGUAGCAGUGAAAUGCGUAGAUAUGCGGAGGAACACCGAUGGCGAAGGCAAUCCCCUGGACCUGUACUGACGCUCAUGCACGAAAGCGUGGGGAGCAAACAGGAUUAGAUACCCUAGUAGUCC
rnacentral:rRNA from 1 species